AGUGAAAUCUGUCAUCAGUCAGUAUGCAUGUGUCGCGAGUUUUGUUUACAAAGUUACAAACAACGAAACAAUCAAACAAUGAUCAAAUACCGGCAAGCAGGUAAAAUGUAUUCACAGUGUAAUAUAUGCGGACGCAAAAUAAAAUCAAAAGAAGCGAAUCUGCGUAGACACAAACUUCUCCACGGACCUACAGUUUUGAGGAUGAAAUGUCUCAUUUGUACGCAAACAUUUUCUACUGAAAAUAAUUUUUUCACACAUUGCCAACGAUUGCAUUCGGACGAGUACCUAUCAGUUGGUAUUUGGGUGAAAGAAAAAGCGAAAGAGCUUCGUCCAGUAUAUGGGUCAAAUUCUUACAAUAUGUCGUCGCAAAAUGAGCCAAAAACGAACGCAGCA